CACAGGAGGGGCAGCGGCCGGAGCGAGGAAGAGGAGGGAGUGGAGAGAAAGACAGGUGGACAGAGGAGGUUAGGAGAUGCUGGUGCGUGAUGAAUAGACUGGACAACACAUGCAGAGAUUGAAACAACAGUCUGAAUGAGGCCGUUUGAAAAGGAGGAAUCAAACUUUGUUCCUACAGAGCCUUCCUGGAGAUGGAGUUAACCAGGUGUACCUAAUAAACUGGCGGCUGAGGUUUCACGACAUUGACCAUGAGACUGGAUCUACUUGGAACGACUCGGUGCCCCUGAGCGUUACCUGAGGACAGCAGCUUGCGGCAGCAGUCGGAGUGAGCGUUCAUGGCAGCCAGGUGCAGAGGAAACAUCCCGUGGACUCCUCGCCUGCGGAGGAGACGAAGAAGAAGAACAGUCUCGCUGAAUAUCGUUUCAUAAAAGUGUUUAAAAACACAUUUUUCCAGGAGUUAAUCAAAUCCAACCUGGUGCAGUCUGCUCCGCUGGUGAUGAGCGUGUUGAUGAGGAGCUCGUGGCCGAAGCGGGCGGCGAUGUGAAGAGGGGUGUUUCCGUCCUUGUCCACGCUGUCGAUCUCCCCACCUGGGAAAGAUCACGUUCAUUAUUAAAAAAAAAAGGGAGAAAACGCUUCGAGUGUGUUUGAGAGAGACGCUGCACGACGAGGUCGCACCGUUCUGGAUCAGGGUCUGAGAGCGAGUGAAGCGUCCGUGAACCGCCGUCAUGUGAAGAGGACUCUUCCCAUCGCGACUCUGACGAGGAAAUUAAAACACACACAACCUUUUAGUUUUGAGUUUGAGGAAACGCGUGUAAUAACAGUAACAUCUUAGUUAUUUCUUUACAUUCAU